UACGUAGGGGGCAAGCGUUGUCCGGAUUUAUUGGGCGUAAAGAGCGUGUAGGCGGUUUGGUAGGUCCGCUGUGAAAACUCGAGGCUCAACUUCGAGCUGUCGGUGGAAACUUUCUGGCUAGAGUCCGGAAGAGGAGAAUGGAAUUCCUGGUGUAGCGGUGAAAUGCGCAGAUAUCAGGAAGAACACCCGUGGCGAAGGCGGCUCUCUGGGACGGUACUGACGCUGAGACGCGAAAGCGUGGGGAGCGAACAGG
rnacentral:rRNA from 1 species